GCAUAGCUCAGCCAGCAGAGCAUGAGACUCUUAAUCUAAAGGUCAUGGGUUUGAGCCCCAUGUUGGGCU